GUCAUGCGGGUUCAGCUAGGAGGUCAAAGGUCCUCAAUCCUGGAACCGCAUGUGGAACAACAAGCCACCCACAUCUGAUGACCAGCACUAGUGAGAACCUCUUUGAUUUAAUUGCUUCAGCAAUAAAGGAGUUUGUUGAUAGAGGAGAAGAUGGUUCCAAAACUCUAGUUAGCGCCUAGCGGAAGAGGGGAACUUGGAUUUACAUUCCCUUUUCCAGUGAAGCAAAGAUCUGUUUCAUCGGGCAUUCUGAUUAAAUGGACAAAAGGGUUUCACAUUGAAGACAUGGUUUGAAGGGAGGUGAAAGAAUGCUUAGAACAAGCAAUGAGCUGAAAAAGACUGAAUAUGCGGGUAGCAGUACUGGUCAAUGAUACUGUGGGAACAUUACACUUGGACAUUAUCACGAUGACGACACUGGUGCUGCAGUGAUAUUUGGUACAGGUACAAAUGCCUGCUACUGGGAGCGGACAGAUGCUAUCAUCAAGUGUCAAGGGCUUCUCACAACUUCUGGAGGCAUGGUCAUCAAUAUGGAAUGGGGAAAUUUCUGGUCAUCUCCUUUGCCGAGAACUUCUUAUGACACGGACUUAGAUUCCCAUAGAUCUAGUCCAAAUGACCAGGGUUUUGAGAAAAUGAUAUCAGGAAUGUAUCUUGGUGAGGUUGUGAGGAGAGUGCUUCUGAGAAUGUCACAAGAGUGGGAAAUAUUUGGAACUGUUCCUUCCAGAUUAUCAGUGCCAUUUAUUUUUAGGUGCUCUUUCUCUCUCAAACCAACACCCCCCCCAAAAAAAACACAUGCACAAACACGCUAUGGUACGUGUUGUCAUAUAGAUCCUUCUUAUGUUUUUCUUUGUUUUUGUCAUGUUACCAAUUGACUUGUAAUGCUAUGUAAACAUGCAUAUUCAGCUUCCUCAAAUAUACGAAAGGACUAUUAAAAAUUUUGGAUGAUAGGAAAUAAAAUGUUGACCUACCUGAGCUAUACCAUAUGGGUAUUGAGCUUAGACUGUGCUUCUUUUGUCUGUGCGUGUGAAAAAUUUUAUAGUUUGCUCAAUGCUGUUCUGAAUGGAUUGAUGUUAUUAAUCUCCAUGAUUGCUGAUGCUUUGUUUCUUUGUCCGUUUCAAAAGGAAUAACUAGUUUUUGAACCUUAUGGUAAUUACGUGUCUGGGCAUUCUUGCACUUGUCAGGGUGCAGCCUAGUGGUCAUAGGCAGGUUUGGGAUGAGUUGUAGACUCAAAGAUCCUGUGUUUGAUUCCUCACUAGGAGUUUCCUUGGAUUAGUUAUUACAUGAUUCUUGCAGGUUUACUUCCUACGGGUAAGCCCAAAGGGCCCUACUUUGGUGAAGUUCCAUAGUAAAAGGAAACUUGUCUGGGCUUUUUUUUUUUCUGUUGCCUUUAUUCACAGAUGGCAGUGAUUUAAUUGAAUGCUGUAAAGCCUGUGAAUUGGAACAAAUCCUCAAAUCCGAGGAGCUGAAGACAGAUUUAGCGUGAUGGAAACUGUUGCACAAGCAUGCGAGACAUACAAUUAUCUUGCAUGAAUAUAGAUGCCUUGAUGCUUGACAUAUUUUAAUUCUGCACAUGAUCUGCUACUCGUGUAUGUGCUCACUCCUACCCCUUCUGAAAGCCUUCAAUGAAUAAAAGUUAUAUGAAAAAAAGAAUGAAGCCAAUGGUGAUAACCUUUAUCUUUCUGGGCUGUGACUCAAGUCAUCUGUUGAAGAAAGAAAUCACUGAUUUGAUAGAGAUGCCUGGGUAUUGGAAAUAUUUUUAUUCUGGUCUUGUGUGUUUUCACCUCCCUCCAUUUGAAAGCCUUCAAUAAAAAAAAAAAGGUUAAAAAAAAGCGUAGCCAAGGGUGAUGA